ACUCCUCCUUGGGAGGUGGCAUGUUUCAUAGAUUAAUAACGUCAUGUCUAUUUUCUAAUCGACAGAUAGGGUUACUUGUUUGGCAGGUAGCCAUCGUUGGCUGGCUCCUCCGUGCUUACAUGGUUUCGUGCUGGUCAUAACCGACGGACGGGUUGUCUCGUUUUCUUGAUAAAUGCCACUCCCAUAUAUAUCUUUCACUUGGGCGACUUUGGUCUGUUAGGCUUCAAAAUGCCAUUGCUUUGUUUGCGCGGAAACCGUUUUUAUUAACUUCGGAAGCAAGCUCACGUCUGUAAUUCGACUCUCUGGGUGAGCUGUCUUUUGUUUCGAGUCGGAUUGUACUGCUAGUCGUCAUCUCGAAUUCCUGUUGCCUG
rnacentral:sRNA from 1 species